rnacentral:rRNA from 1 species
CCCAGACUCCUACGGGAGGCAGCAGUGAGGAAUAUUGGUCAAUGGGAGAGAUCCUGAACCAGCCAUGCCGCGUGAAGGCGAGUGCCCUACGGGCGUUAAACUUCUUUUGUGCGGGAGCAAUAAGGGCCACGCGUGGCCCGAUGAGAGUACCGCACGAAUAAGCAUCGGCUAACUCCGUGCCAGCAGCCGCGGUAAUACGGGGGAUGCGAGCGUUAUCCGGAUUUAUUGGGUUUAAAGGGUGCGCAGGCGGCCUGUUAAGUCGGGGGAAAAAGCCCGGGGCUCACCCCCGGCGAGCCGUUGAAACUGGCGGGCUGGAGUUGGAGAGAAGUACGCGGAAUGCGCGGUGUAGCGGUGAAAUGCUUAGAUAUCGCGCAGAACCCCGAUUGCGAAGGCAGCGUACCGGCUCCACACUGACGCUGAGGCACGAAAGCGUGGGUAUCGAACAGGAUUAGAUACCCGAGUAAC